UCCUCUGUGGCGCAAUUGGCUAGCGCGUCUGACUGUUAAUCAGGAGGUUGGUGGUUCGAGCCCACCCGGAGGAG
rfam:Valsa mali var. pyri strain SXYL134 contig2802, whole genome shotgun sequence.